rnacentral:rRNA from 1 species
UUGGAGGGCAAGUCUGGUGCCAGCAGCCGCGGUAAUUCCAGCUCCAAUAGCGUAUAUUGAAGUUGUUGCAGUUAAAAAGCUCGUAGUUGAAUUUCGGGAUUAAUUUAUUGGUCGUGCUAUUGUACGUACUGGUAUUAUUGAUUCCUACCUUCUGACGAACCAUGAUGUCAUUAAUUUGGUGUCAUGGGGAAUCAGGACUGUUACUUUGAAAAAAUUAGAGUGUUUAAAGCAGGCUCACGCUUGAAUACAUUAGCAUGGAAUAACGAAAUAGGACGUUUGAUUCUAUUUUGUUGGUUUCUAGGAUCGACGUAAUGAUUAAUAGGGAUAGUUGGGGGCAUAAGUAUUCAAUUGUCAGAGGUGAAAUUCUUGGAUUUAUUGAAGACUAACUACUGCGAAAGCAUUUGCCAAGGAUGUUUUCAUUAAUCAAGAACGAAAGUUAGGGGAUCGAAGACGAUCAGAUACCGUCGUAGUCUUAACCAUAAACUAUGCCGACUAGGGAUCGGAUGAUGUUAAUUUUUUAAUGACUCAUUCGGCGCCUUACGGGAAAC